rnacentral:lncRNA from 1 species
UUUGAUUCAGACUUGUUGCUCCCAUCCCCUUUCGGUACCAAAAAGUGUUCAAGUUUUGUACCUGAUCUGGAAUCCAAACCCCUGGCUUGCUGAAUGACUCGAGCAGGUCAGAACCACAUAGCAGCAUUACCUUGACACUUCCUGAGACAAAACGCAAGUCGUAAACAACUGAUUUAUAUACAGUGUUAUAGUACUGAUACAAUUGGUGAUCCAACAAUGUGAGAGAAGACACUACUGUGUUGCAACAACAAAAAUCAUUGUCACAUACCUUGAUCAGCUAAGCCAUCCUUGCACAGAAGAAUUCUUAACUCUUGAGAGAAUGGUCAAGGUACGCUGAUGACCUUUCUGCAUUGCCUGUAUCAAGAACACAAGAAUGUGUCCAUCAAAUGAACACAUCAUCCGAACUGAAAGUACCUUAUGUGAUAGCGAAAAUCCAAUGGUACGCAUGUACUGAUAACAUGAAAAAUCAGGUUAUUAUGCAUGGAUCAACCAUCACGAAAGACGAGCUUCAACAUGCCAAUUCGCAGAGGCGAAUCCGGUGAGCAAACGGCAAGAGGUCAUGAGCAGCCCCAAAUUGCAAAUUCGGUCAUGAGAAUGUGGUGUUAACACAAACCCAUACACAUUUCCAGUUCCGCAUAGUACCUUCUUCUUGUUAGCAUCGGUUCACCAGGGACAUGUAUCCAUUAAGGCAGUAACAUCCCAGCACCGACUACCCUCGCUGCUGCAACUCAUCCUUUGCAAGCUCUGUACGUAUGAAACAAGAGAUGGGGUAAUAUGCAAUCUAUUUGUUCUGAUUCUCAGCAUGUUCUAAUAUUAACACAACACUUCAGAGUUGCUAAACAGAUUUAACAGGUGUUGCGGCUUACCAAACAUGCCUGUGCAUGUAGGUGGGAAGGUUGAAGCUCCCGGUGGCCACCAGCACAACACCACCCCGCCUUCCCCCGUCUCUGCGGUCAUCCAAUUGAAUAAGGGAACGUAUGGUGGACUAGGAUGACUCUGAAUAACGCAAGUGAAGAAAUCCAAGAUCAGGUUCUUUUCUUUCUGCUUACAGAUUUGGAUCCGUGGACAACUUCUCUGUGGGGACGGGAACUUCCACCUCCUCCAAGGCCAUGGCCACGGCCGUCCUCUUCAAAUUCCCAGCUGAGCAAGAAGCCGGCACAAAAUCUUCGCUUCUCUCUUCCUGGGGUCGGCGUGCGCCCCCCGCCUGAGAGGUCGGUAGUCCGGCGUGUGCGGUAAGGGGCCGGCAUCACCGGCGAGCAUGCCAAGCUCGACCGCCUCCUCGAGCACUUCGAGGGCCGAAUUCGAAGGAGGAGCGAGGUGGAGUAGGGGCAUGCACGUCCGCCGGCGUGGGUGACGAAGGGGAGGGGCGGCCUUACAGGGAGCGCCGGCUAUGGAGGGAGGGAUCUGGCGACCAUGGAAUAUUAGGGAAGGGAGGAGAAAAGACAGGGGCGGUGGAAUGACUGGCUUUUUUAGUACAACUACAGUAUAUACUAGCAGUGUCCAGAGAAGGAUUGUGAGUGACUGUGGCGUUGUCCAAACCAAUUUUCUUUCAUCCUCUAGAAAAAUACUUUUCUUUUAUAGGGCAUGUUCGAUUUUGGGUGCCAUUUCUUUAAUCAUCACGGCUUGUUAUGAUCAUGAUGAUCAGUUGAUGGUUUAAAAAGUUUCGUAUAAAUAUCUAUAAAAAUUAAAUAAAACUGAAUAUAUUUUAUGUUUUGUAAUCCUGUAGGUCAUCUUGUGGAGUACUUCACCGGAGAUAUAAAUUUUAUGGGUCUAUGAAAACUAACUAACUCUGAUUACUACUUUAUAGGAUCAUAUGACAUAUUUUAGAACAAAACUACCUGUCAUUUUAGUGGAUGAGGAAUAAAAUGAUGAUAUUACAAGAAAUCAAGACUUGAAAGAUGACGGAAACAACACAGACCCCAAAGAUUGAAUGAUUAUUGAUANNNNNNNNNNCCCCAAAACAUCGAACAUAUCACCCGAAGUUGAGCUCAUCUCACAAUCAUUUAUCCUUUCACCGACUGUCACUCCAACAAACGAUGACUUAAUAGAGUAACUUUGUUCAUCGGUAUGAUUGAUGAUGUCCCUUUACUAGAGUAAGACAUAUUUUUUCAUAUUUUAAAGUAUGAAGGAAAUGAAGUUGACGAGGAAGUUUUUGAUAUAUAUUUUAAAGUACGAAGGGAACCAAGCUCAAACCAAUAUCCCAUCGGAUGGAGCACCAUAGAUCGUAUCAAUAAAUGGACCUUCAAGAGAUAAUGGUGUUUAGUUGUGUUUUUUAAAUUAUGUAACAAAUUAUAAUAGAAUUAUGUGAUCAUCAAUGUUAUAUGAAGACAUGUUUAUGGGUCGUAUGUUACACGCGCGCUCAUAUCACUGAGCAUAAGACAGAUUUGAAUGGGUCGGUAAAAAACUCGCUAGAAGAGAAAAUAUACUCAAAUAGAUGUUUUUAUUGUAGAUUAUGAUACGUGCGUUGCACAUGCAUGUGUACUAGUAGCAAAAAACAAUCUAACCACACUCUCAAAUUUGAGAAAAUCCGAACUUUAUUCUUAUGUGUAAAUGUUCACACUAACAUUGGAAUAUCAAAUUGUCGGUGUACAAAAAGAGGGGUACACUUUUUGUACCCCUAUAACUGUGCACGGGCAGUCUGAGUCUACUACUAUUAAACAAUCAAACAAGAACUUUCUUACAUGCACCCCGCAAUUAAUCCCACAAUAACGCACGAGCCAAUCAGCACCACACGAUUAGGCCAACAAGUCUCAAUCUAACGGCCAUCAUUAAUCCAAUACCUCUACAGUGUGCACUUAGCAUUUACCAAUGACUGACCGUACUUCACCAGGAGAGUAGUAGUCGAACAACCAGCCCCGCGCGUCCCCUACAAUCACGGAAAUCAGAUCGCAAACUAACAACCAGCCCAGCAUCCCCUACAAUCACGGAAAAUCAGAUCGCAAGCUAAGGGAACUUCACGCCCUUGACCUUGACCUCACCGCCAGGCACAUACGCCGCCAACCAACGGCGUCUCCUGCCUGCGCAGCGACCACGCCGCACUGCACCGUCCCGUCACCUCCGUGCACGAUCGCCAUCGCCGAUUGUUGCCGCUCGUAGCGUGGCAUCCGUCCUGCGAGAUCGCCAGUGCCCAGGAGAGAGCCUGCCCCGGCACCCGCACCGCCGUGCCCGCCCUGCACUGGCACCCACGCCGCCGCGCACACGCCCGCCGGGGCAGGGCGCCAGCGCCUGUCGCGUCCCCUGAACCAGCCGGGCACACGCAGGUGUGAUUCUUCCGAGGACUUCUUCAGGUUCGACUUCUUCCUUUGACUGUUGCAGCAUUACUCAUGAUUAGAUUUUUGAUAAUAGAGUUCUAACUAAUAAACAGUUGCACAACAAAAUGCUAUAAGCCUUUCAUUUUACAUACUGACUAUAUGAGGAUAAUGAAACUAGAUUUGUGUUGCACAAAUUGCCUUUACUAUAUCAAGUAAAUACAGGAAAGUGACUUUACUAUAUCAAGUUCCAUCAACAUGACCACCAACACAAUCAUUCUACAAAGUAAUAUAGCAUCUAUCCAGCUCCAGGGUGUUACAAUGAAUUGUAUAAAUCUGUAUAAACCCACUUUUGCACACCACAUGAUUGAGAAUGUGCAUGAUUAUUUAAACUGAAAACAUCUGGAGUACACGUGAUCCAUUCUAAUUCUGAAAACUAAAGAAGUCGCACUUCCUGCUCCCUGAGUACAAAAUGGUGCAUUUGAAUGUCUGUUUGUUGGAACUACGCAACUUUAGCAUAUCUUUUUUUUCAUGUGCAUCUCCUAAUAGGUGAGAGCAUCAACAACAUUUUGUUGAUCUAUCAUGAACGGUUUAGAAUAUAUGUUUUUGCAGGACUAAUGCUUGUGGUAAGCCAUCUAAGAAAUAUUUAGAGUUGCCGACAAAGGUAAUCUGGAAGUAUGAUUUAGUAAACAAAUAUGCCCGACCAUCACAUCAAGGAAAUGUUCCAUAUACAACUACAUGAAUUUCUUAGAACAAUAAAAAUAUUGUGCAAUGCAACGAAGAUUCAAAACAUACUCUUUGAUUCAGACUUGUUGCUCCCAUCCCCUUUCGGUACCAAAAAGUGUUCAAGUUUUGUACCUGAUCUGGAAUCCAAACCCCUGGCUUGUUGAAUGAAUCGAGCAGGUCAGAACCACAUAGCAGCAUUACCUUGACACUUCCUGAGACAAAACGCAAGUCGUAAACAACUGAUUUAUAUACAGUGUUAUAGUACCGAUACAAUUGGUGAUCCAACAAUGUGAGAGAAGACACUACUGUGUUGCAACAACAAAAAUCAUUGUCACAUACCUUGAUCAGCUAAG